rnacentral:rRNA from 1 species
GAUGAACGCUGGCGGCGUGCCUAAUACAUGCAAGUCGAGCGAACAGAUGAGGAGCUUGCUCCUCUGACGUUAGCGGCGGACGGGUGAGUAACACGUGGAUAACCUACCUAUAAGACUGGGGUAACUUCGGGAAACCGGAGCUAAUACCGGAUAAUAUAUUGAACCGCAUGGUUCAAUAGUGAAAGACGGUUUUGCUGUCACUUAUAGAUGGAUCCGCGCCGCAUUAGCUAGUUGGUAAGGUAACGGCUUACCAAGGCAACGAUGCGUAGCCGACCUGAGAGGGUGAUCGGCCACACUGGAACUGAGACACGGUCCAGACUCCUACGGGAGGCAGCAGUAGGGAAUCUUCCGCAAAGGGCGAAAGCCUGACGGAGCAACGCCGCGUGAGUGAUGAAGGUCUUCGGAUCGUAAAACUCUGUUAUUAGGGAAGAACAAAUGUGUAAGUAACUAUGCACGUCUUGACGGUACCUAAUCAGAAAGCCACGGCUAACUACGUG